CCCCUCUCAUGGUCGCACCUGGAGAGUUUCCAGUACUCUAUCAGUAUCGGCUAAGGGAGGCAAAGCCAAGCAGAGCCCUACCCAUUCAAUUCCUAGCUUGGGCAAUGGCUAGCGGGUGGAAGGCAAUCUGCUACAAGU